CCCCUUCAAUUAUCUUCUCUCCCCGACAUUGUUCUCUCCUAAUGAGGAGGCUAAUGACCAAAGGAUGGUUCAUAAGUGGUUCCCAGACUCUCCUUGCCCAGGGCAAACACCCGUCCACAAUAGGAUCACAAAUUGUAGGGAGAAGCCCCGGCUGAUCACAUCAGAAACGGUGCGGGGAUUUAUCUCCCUGCCUUAACAACAACAGCGUGCUCUUAAUCGCCGCUCCAAAGGGACAGCUAGCGGGGGAUCUGCCCGGCCUCAUCAUUAAAAGCUGGCAGCAUCUUUGCUAGCGCUGCCCCUUUGUUCAUCUUUCAUUAUCCCGACGCUCCGGCCCCGUUAAUUCCCCUCCAUCUUAUUAAAUCAAUAGAGAGGGAGCGGGGGGGAAAGGGACGGGGCAGAGCGGGGGUCGCAUCCUGCUGGGCUCCCGGCAAGGGGUGCGGGGUGUCGAGGGGACGGUCCGAGAGUUUGAGGCUGCAUUUCCCAGCCUCUGCGGCUGGGGAAACUGAGGCACGAGGGCAGCCCAAGCCCGGGGGAGUUUCGGCACUCAGGGGACGCUUUAUCCCACCGCCAGUCCCGCACCUCCCACGUUUUCCCUUAUUUCAUCCACCCCACCCCAUCGGGACGGACUUGAUUGAAUGCGAUCGAGUUUUAUAAUAAAAUCAGCCUCCCCCCCAAAAAAAAAACCAUUCCCCGUGAGCACCACGGAGAUCCCAAGGGGCUGCUGAAGUGGUCCUUCCACUGAGCUCCGGCCUGCAGAAGGAAAAAUGAGGGGUUAAGACAAGCAGGAUAAAAAGCUGUUCUCCUGAAAGUCGGAGGGGGCUUGCCCACACCAGAACCCUCCUGGGAACGUCCCCACAAACCAUCCUGGGAUCCCCCUUGCAGGGGAAUUCGGGCUCUGGGCUCUGUACCCACCCCCAUGACCAAUGGUGCAGUUUUCUUUGAUUUUUUCUUUGUUUUUCUCUUUUCCCCAGCUGCUCGUCCCAGCGAAACGAACCAGACAGGUUCCUCAGAGCCCUGUGGCAUGGAGGGAGCUGCUCCGGUGCUGGGCCAGGAGGGAAGGAGCAGGGCCAGGAGCACCAGCGGCUGCGGCAGGGCCCCAUGGCAAACCCAGAUGGGUGAAAGAACAGCAGUACCGUGCACAGUCUUGGGAAGGGACUGGUGGGCUGCAGGGCAGAAGGACCCUCAGGGGACACAAGGAGCAAAGACUCUGUCCCAGGUGAUUUUAUCCAGCCCAAAACCUUGCCAAGCUCUCGGAGCAUUUGAAAAAGUCAAUCAAGCCCAUCAGGUUUAAUUAAAGCCGUUUCCCCAGUUGGAUGCUGCCUGAGCUGCAGGGGCAUCGCCUGGCACAGGGACGGGUCCAAAGGGCCCGAUCCUGCCCGAUGCUGAGCACUGCCAGCUCCCAGGGGAUUAAACGUGUCCUGAGAACAACUUAACUCUCAAUCAGCUCGGCCCCCGGCCGGGCGAUAUUAAAACACCCCCGUAAGCCCUGUUGUCUCGGGGAUGAUUGCAAUAAACCCACCGGCACGCCAGAUUAGCGGGUCA
rnacentral:lncRNA from 1 species